CUGAAACUCUCGGGGCUAGAAAUUCAGAUUUCUUUCAGAUUUUCAAGAGGUAAUAAGGUAAUAUCAUAUAUUAAGUAACAUCCCAAGGAGGCUCUGCGCCAGCACUUCGUAAUUGCAACACAUUGAAAUAUCUCCAGGAAAAAAGCACGGAUAUUCACAUGACCUGUGAUACAGACUUGGCUUGCUGUCCUCAUGGAAGCUUCCUAGGUGUCCGGGUGUAAUCUGCACCCAGUUCCUACAAUCAGAGGGCAGGGAGAGACUUAAGAGGCUGCUCCGGGUUGGUAGGCGGCAGCUACGCUGUAAUAAGCAAAGGGACCUUACUAAUGAGGCUUAUCUUGGGUGGCCCCGAGAUGAAUGGAUCCUUGUGUCCAUCUGCCAGAUCUUAAAAAGUUUAUAUAGAGGCCUUCCUGGGUUCGGUCAGGGAUACUGGGCGGGUGUUCUGAACACCACAUCGUUAUCUCAAGACCUGUCUUUGGAGUGGCCUCAGGGAAUGGAAAAGGCAAGCAAGGGCUGGCAUUCCAAGGACAGGGGAGGGGCUGGAGAGCUUCUGAGAGCCCUGGUCCUGCCUGAGGGUCAAUCGGGGGUCACAUCUCUUGGAUGACCUUCCCUGAUAGCAUCAUCCAUUUCAGGGUGGGACAGACUGCCUGGAGCUGUCGGGGUGCCAGGGAUGAGGGGGCCUAUCCCAACCCCAGAGCUGCCCUGCCCUCAUCCCAGACUAUAUUCGGCUCUUUCUUGGACAUUUGGACUUACUAAUGAGAGGGAACCAAUCCACUCCAUGGUUUUCUGCUUGGCUUCCUCCCAGCUGAAGAGCGGCUUAUACCCCAGAUCCCGCUGAGCUUUCUUAUAGGAGAAGCCUCCCUGGGAUACUAUACCCUUCAGAUUGACAUUCAUGAUGGUCUCUCGGUGAAGGACAUUCAUGACGUCAAUGACAGAGGCAGUGUGAAUGACAACCGAGAUGCCCUGGCAAGCUCUCUUCAGGCACUGCUCAUCCAGAAUGUCUCCUUCCACCAUCAUCAAAUUGGUCUUGCUCUGGAGCUCUGUGUGAACACAAGGCAGGUCACUGGAAGGUUUUCUGGAUCUGGAAGUUUCCUGAUAAAGGUGGCGUUUUCCCAGGUCUUCAAGGACAGCAGGUAUCAGUGCCGAAAAUAAGUCAGCCACCAAGGGACUAACAUUCUGGCCAUUGAGCCAAGGGCAGUGGAUUCAACCUCAGGGACAUCAGCUUCUUGGAAAUUCACAUGAAGGGGCACUUCAGGCUGGCUCAGAUCAACCUAUUAGUUUGCAGGGGUGCGGAGAGACCAGAAGAGGGCGCUGCCGAUGUGUGGGUGGUAGAGGCGCA